CAGCAGCCGCGGUAAUACGUAGGGUGCGAGCGUUAAUCGGAAUUACUGGGCGUAAAGCGUGCGCAGGCGGUUUUGUAAGACAGAUGUGAAAUCCCCGGGCUUAACCUGGGAACUGCAUUUGUGACUGCAAGGCUAGAGUAUGGCAGAGGGGGGUAGAAUUCCACGUGUAGCAGUKAAAUGCGUAGAGAUGUGGAGGAAURCCGAUGGCGAAGGCAGCCCCCU
rnacentral:rRNA from 1 species